CAGCCGCCGCGGGAAUACGGAGGGAGCUAGCGUUGUUCGGAAUUACUGGGCGUAAAGCGCACGUAGGCGGCUUUGUAAGUUAGAGGUGAAAGCCUGGAGCUCAACUCCAGAACUGCCUUUAAGACUGCAUCGCUUGAAUCCAGGAGAGGUGAGUGGAAUUCCGAGUGUAGAGGUGAAAUUCGUAGAUAUUCGGAAGAACACCAGUGGCGAAGGCGGCUCACUGGACUGGUAUUGACGCUGAGGUGCGAAAGCGUGGGGAGCAAACAGGAUUAGAUACCCCGGUAGUCCCUGUCUCUUAUAC
rnacentral:rRNA from 1 species